GAAUGGAAUGUGCUGAGUAUUUCCUGAUCUGCUUAUUCUGGAGUCACUGCUAUAAAAUCAUACCACAUUUCUGCAGCAAGAGUGCUACAGUGUUGCCAGUUAUCCUGAUUUUAUCUUUGAUCUUUCAAUAUUUGGUAUUUUUCCUAGGGCCCCAGCUCCUGGAGUCAUCUGAAUAUAUGAGAAUUUCAGGUUUCAUUUGAAAAAAAAAGAGAGACUUAACAACAGAGCACCUUGGGGAAAAAGAUUUAUGAAUCUGCAUAAUUUCUUAGCACUGCACCCACUCUCCAAUGAAGAGAAUGGUAAUGGUCUCAGGGAACAGUAACAAUGAGAGCAGAAGCAGCAAGAGUUGUGUCCCACCCAAAUCAGUAAAGACUACCAUUGAUGGAAUAUUUAACUCUAUAUGUGCAGCAAAUGGAAUGAUACUCUGAAGAUGCAGUUAACCUGUUGCUCUGUGUGAUUGAAUGCUUUUCCAGUUAAGAAGUUAUUGUGAACAUUAAAGGGGAAAAGAAGAAAAAAGAUUAUUGUGGCUCGCUUUAUUAAAAUGUGCUGUUCUGUA